UUUAAAGAGAGUUUGAUCCUGGCUCAGGACGAACGCUGGCGGCGUGCCUAAUACAUGCAAGUCGAACGAACGGAGGAAGAGCUUGCUCUUCCAAAGUUAGUGGCGGACGGGUGAGUAACACGUGGGCAACCUGCCUGUAAGUUGGGGAUAACUCCGGGAAACCGGGGCUAAUACCGAAUGAUAAAGUUUGGCGCAUGCCACGCUUUUGAAAGAUGGUUUCGGCUAUCGCUUACAGAUGGGCCCGCGGUGCAUUAGCUAGUUGG
rnacentral:rRNA from 1 species